CAGAGAUGGUGACCAUUGUUACUCUCUGACGGCUUCCACGGCGUCUGGACUUAGCCUUCUUCUUUGCUCUACCAGCUGGAAAAACAACGUCACUUGUUUUCAUUCUGACCAAUUAUCAGCGUGCACUCCGAUACCAUCAGAUCCAGACUCCCUACGGUCUGCAGAAUCCCUCCCCGUCUUGAAGAAACACCUGAAGACAUCUACUGAGAACACCUCAUUACUCUGCACUCUGUUCCACGUAUAUAACGGACAUAUAACAUGAAACACACAACUACUUGAGAUGCCUAUCAAUAGUCCGUAACUCAUGGGCGUAAUCUCACGUCAAGUAAGGGCACCUACCAAAUCUUCUCUUCCUGCGCUCCCUCCGGUCCAAAGACGCGUCCCCAGGUUCCUCAGAGAGUCCAGGGUCCGGUUCAGAGAUGGUAGCCAUGGUUCCUCCCUGACAGCUUCAGAUACGUCUGCUCUCAGGA